CCUACGGGAGGCAGCAGUGGGGAAUAUUGCACAAUGGGGGAAACCCUGAUGCAGCGACGCCGCGUGGGUGAAGAAGGUUUUCGGCUCGUAAAGCCCUAUCGGCAGGGAAGAUAAUGACGGUACCUGACCAAGAAGCCCCGGCUAACUACGUGCCAGCAGCCGCGGUAAUACGUAGGGGGCAAGCGUUAUCCGGAUUUACUGGGUGUAAAGGGGGCGUAGACGGCAGAGCAAGUCAGGAGUGAAAUCCCGGGGCUUAACCCCGGAACUGCAUUUGAAACUGUAAGGCUGGAGUAUAGGAGGGGUAGGCGGAAUUCCUGGUGUAGCGGUGAAAUGCGUAGAGAUUAGGAGGAACAC
rnacentral:rRNA from 1 species